GCCAGGUGUGGUGGCACACGCCUGUAAUCCAAGCUACUCGGGAGGCUGAGGCAGGAGAAUUGCUUGAACCCAGGAGGUGGAGGUUGCAGUGAGCCGAGAUCGUGCCACUGCAUCCAGCCUGGGCAACAGAGCAAGACUCCGUCUAAAAAAAAAAAAAGACUGGGCACAGUGGCUCAUGCCUGUAAUCCCAGCACUUUUGGAGGCUGAGGUGGGUGGAUCAUGAGGUCAGGAGAUGGAGACCAUCCUGGUUAACACGGUGAAACCCUGCCUCU
rnacentral:sRNA from 1 species